rnacentral:rRNA from 1 species
UUGAACGCUGGCGGCAUGCCUUACACAUGCAAGUCGAACGGUAACAGGUCUUCGGAUGCUGACGAGUGGCGAACGGGUGAGUAAUACAUCGGAACGUGCCCGAGAGUGGGGGAUAACGGAGCGAAAGCUUUGCUAAUACCGCAUACGAUCUACGGAUGAAAGCAGGGGACCGCAAGGCCUUGCGCUCAUGGAGCGGCCGAUGGCAGAUUAGGUAGUUGGUGGGAUAAAAGCUUACCAAGCCGACGAUCUGUAGCUGGUCUGAGAGGACGACCAGCCACACUGGGACUGAGACACGGCCCAGACUCCUACGGGAGGCAGCAGUGGGGAAUUUUGGACAAUGGGCGCAAGCCUGAUCCAGCCAUGCCGCGUGCAGGAUGAAGGCCUUCGGGUUGUAAACUGCUUUUGUACGGAAAGAAAACGCAUCGGUGAAUACCCGGUGUGGAUGACGGUACCGUAAGAAGAAGCACCGGCUAACUACG